AGAUGGCGACCGGCGCACGGGUGAGUAACACGUAUCCAACCUGCCGAUAACUCGGGGAUAGCCUUUCGAAAGAAAGAUUAAUACCCGAUGGCAUAAUAGAACCGCAUGGUUUGAUUAUUAAAGAAUUUCGGUUAUCGAUGGGGAUGCGUUCCAUUAGGCAGUUGGUGGGGUAACGGCCCACCAAACCCUCGAUGGAUAGGGGUUCUGAGAGGAAGGUCCCCCACAUUGGAACUGAGACACGGUCCAA
rnacentral:rRNA from 1 species